GGGCCGUGAGGCCUGCUUAUCUCUUCCUUCCUCUCCUCCCGCCCUCCUCGGAGGCUGCUGACCGCCUCUUUCAGCCGAAACUGCCCGGUCCGAAGGCCUCGGGGCUCUCCUGGUCCCCCUCUUCCUUGGGCCGGCCAUGUAUCUGGAGGAGGGCAGAUUAAACCCACUUCUGCUUGGCGCUGACAGCUCUUCCCCACGCAGCCCCUUCCCAGUCUUCGUCCCCUCCCAACACUCCAGGGCCCGGCCCGGCUGGCCCCCGAGCUCCUGCUCAAGCACGGAACGCCAUCUCCCAUCGCCCCGCCUUUGCCUAGGCUGUCCCCUCCCCCCACAUUAUACUAAGGAAAGAUAAAGAACUCAACUAUUUCCUUCUCAAGCUCAUUUUACAGAUGAGGAAACUGAGAAUGACCAUGCCCUCUGACACAGCAAAGAUCUCAUCGUUAGACAUUUCUCUCAAGCAAGUCAAAGACAGAAAGAAAUAUGCAUCAAAAUAUUGAAGCAGCAUUUUGGGGGUAAUAACUGGAAAAAAGUAUAUGCUCAUCAACUGGGGAAAGAGCUCAACAAAUUAUAGCAUAUCACUUAUAGAAUUUUAUAACACAAGAAGAAAUGAUAAUUAUGAAGAAUUCAGCAAAGCAAGAGCUGAACUAAUGCUAAGUGAAGUAAGAAAAAGCAGAAAAACUAAUUACAAGAAUGACUACAAAGUAUAAAUAAAAAAGAACAACAAAAACAAAAUCUUGAAUGCUAUGUGAUUAUAAUAACCAAGUGUGACCCUUUAGAAAACUUGAGAAAAUGUACCUUCUUUUCUUCUUUGAAAAAGCAGGGGACUAUGGGUGUGAAAUAUUGCAUACUGUCAGAUGAAUAGGAUUCAUAUGCUAGUUGAUUUUGCUGAACUACAUUUUUUAAAAUUCCUCUUUAAAUCUUUGUUACAAGAGAUAGCUCCAAGUAUAGAAGAGGAGGAAAGGGUAGAUUUGGAAAUGAGGUUGAUGUUAAAAAAAAAAAACUAAACAUGAAUUUCUAAAAAAAAAAAAAUUAUAAAUGGGAGAGUAUUCCAGGAAAAGGAAAUGAUAUCAACAAAAUUUAUGAAAGAGACAAAAUGGAAAGUGUGAAAUAGAGGGAACAGCCAAGUGGCACAGUGGAUAAAAUGGAGACCAAAAGACCUGAGUUCACAUCUUCUCUCAUAGAAGUAUUACUUUGGGAUAUUUGAGUUAAAUCAACUUCUCUCAGCCUGUUUCCUCAAAAGUCUGUAAAAUGAGAAGGUUGGACUCCACUGCCUCUAAGAAUCCUUUCAAUUAUAAAUCUAUAAUUCCAUGAGCAGUUUGUGUUUACUGUAGUUCUUGAGAUAAAGAUCAAAAUGAGAUAAAGAUUAAAAAUAAAAUGGCAUCAUAUAGUGUAGAAAAUAAAUGCCAAAAGAGAGUUUAAAAUUUAAUCACGAGGCAUCAGAGUUCAUAGAGAGCACAGAAGCAAACUCUGUCAUUUUACAUAUUUAGAAAACCUGGGACAUAGAGAUGUUUAAGUGAGCUGACCAAGGUCAAACAGUUAAUAAGGGUCUGAGAUCAAGGGACCACCUUGGUGAAAUUUGUUUUAUUGCUGUGUUUGUAUCCCUAUUCUCAGACGGAGUACCUAGUAUCUAAUAGCUGGGUUUAUAAAUGUUUAUUGAAUGAUAUUGAGCCGAAUAGUAAUGAGUCCAAACAUAUAUAAAGGCAGAUUGGAAGAAGGAGAGAAAAGUGAGACUUAUUGUUAAGGUAUUGUAAUAAUCAAGGAGACUAGUAAUGAACAUCUAUUUUAGGAUGAUGAUAAAGGGAAGAGAUACAAUAUUCCAAAAGACAAAAGAGAUAAACUUAUAUACCUUGCAAAACUGGGGAAUAUUAAGAGGAAGUAAUGGACCUUUAAUGGUACAGAACAUUUUUAACUGUUUCUGAUGAAAAGACUAGAACUGAACAGACAUUUUGAAAUGAAAAUACAAUAAUCAAGAGACACUCAGAAAAGCAAAUUUAUUUGAGCAACUGGAAGGGGCUUAUAAUGAUAUAAUACUAAUACCCUAAUAGAGGGGAAAGAAAACAGUGUCCCUUCAGAAGUUUAAUCUCUGCAAAAGGUAUUGAGGGAGUAAAAAAAGAAAAGUAAAGGUUUUAGGGGGCAGAUUCGUUCUUUUCCAAGGGUCUGAAUGGGAUUAAAGAUAACGGAGGGUAAAAAGAAUACACUGGUGUAAAGAAGGAAGAAUCAUGUCAGACCUUGCUAUUUCUCAUAAUUAGGUGCAAUAAUAAGAAUAUACAAAAUGAAGAUAGAGUGUGUAUGAGAGGUAACUCUCUUUCUGAAAUGAACAAAGGAGAAUUAAACACACGCACUCACAGAGAAUUUGGUAUAGAAAUGCCUCAAACUCAACAGGGAAACCAGUUGGUGAUAGGCAGGAUGAGGCUAAUGGGGAAGACAAUACCAGAAAGGAAACAACUUCAAAAAAAUCCUUUGAGGACGUCAAAGACAAAAAUGGAAAAGAGAAGGGAAGAACUAGAACUUAAAGAGGUAUGAAAUACUAACUCCUUGACACUUUGGGGUAUGGCUGAAUACACUAUUGUAUAGCAAUGUAAUGGAAUAUUAUUGUGCUAAAACAGAGAACUAAAACAAGAACAAUAAUACUGUAAAGAAAAACAACUUUGAAAGACUCAUGAACUGACCAAUGUAACAGCCAACUUCGUUUCCAAAGGACCUCAGAUGAAAUAAUUUCUCUAUCUCCUGAUAAAGAGACAAAGGUUCCCUAUAGAGAAAGAGACAUGCUUUUGGACAUGGAUACAGCACGAAUUAACUUUGUUUAUGUUUAUUUUUUACAAGAUUGUUGUUCUCUGAAGGAAACCUGGUUUUAAAAAUAAAAGGUAACAAAGUUCAGAAGGAAGCACAGAGAAGCAGGAUAGUUUUGAAAGUAAUGUGGAAUUAUUAGAAACUUUUUGUAAAAAUAAGUAGUAGGAGAGGGAAAUUCAGUUUUAUAUACUACAAUCUCUUUGUGUUCUACUAUGAAUAUAGAAAUGUUCUUUUCUGUGUUUAAGUUUGGAAUAAAAAAUAAAAUAAAAAUAAAUUAAUGACACUCGCCCCAUCUUACCCCACCACCACCACCACCCUCAUAAAGAAAAGGGAAAAAGGAGGAGAAGAGAUUUUUGAGAAGGUCGAAGCGAGGAAGUGGGCAUUCUAGGCAUGGAGA